GACGAACGCUGGCGGCGUGCCUAAUACAUGCAAGUCGAACGCAGUGGGGACGGGUGAGUAACACGUGUGUAACCUCCCCAUCAGUGAGGAUAACACUUGGAAACAGGUGCUCAACCGAUAGGGAUGGAUGGACCCGCGGUGCAUUAGCUAGUUGGUGAGGUAACGGCCCACCAAGGCCACGAUGCAUAGCUGGCCUGAGAGGGUGAUCGGCCACACUGGGACUGAGACACGGCCCAGACUCCUACGGGAGGCAGCAGUAGGGAAUCUUCGGCAAUGGACGAAAGUCUGACCGAGCAACGCCGCGUGAGUGAAGAAGGUUUUCGGAUCGUAAAGCUCUGUUGUUAGAGAAGCGGUAUCUAACCAGAAAGCCACGGCUAACUACGUGCCAGCAGCCGCGGUAAUAC
rnacentral:rRNA from 1 species